AGCAGCCGCGGUAAUUCCAGCUCCAAUAGCGUAUAUUAAAGUUGUUGCAGUUAAAAAGCUCGUAGUUGAAUUUCGGGGUUAGUAGGUUGGUCAUGCCUCUGGUAUGUACUGGUCUCACUGAUUCCUCCUUCCUGAUGAACCUUAAUGCCAUUAAUUUGGUGUUUUGGGGAAUUUGGACUGUUACUUUGAAAAAUUAGAGUGUUUAAAGCAAGCUAACGCUUGAAUACAUUAGCAUGGAAUAAUGAAAUAGGACGUUCGAUCCUAUUUUGUUGGUUUCUAGGAUUGACGUAAUGAUUAAUAGGGAUAGUUGGGGGCAUUAGUAUUCAAUUGUCAGAGGUGAAAUUCUUGGAUUUAUUGAAGACUAACUACUGCGAAAGCAUUUGCCAAGGAUGUUUUCAUUAAUCAAGAACGAAAGUUAGGGGGAUCGAAGACGAUCAGAUACCGUCGUAGUCUUAACCAUAAACUAUGCCGACUAGGGAUCGGAUGAUGUUAAUUUUUAAUGACUCAUUCGGCGCCUUAC
rnacentral:misc_RNA from 1 species